GGAGGAAUAUUGGGCAAUGGACGAAAGUCUGACCCAGCAACGCCGCGUGAAGGAUGAAGGCCUUCGGGUCGUAAACUUCUUUUGAGGGAGACGAGAAAGGACGGUAUCCCUCGAAUAAGCCACGGCUAACUACGUGCCAGCAGCCGCGGUAAAACGUAGGUGGCGAGCGUUAUCCGGAUUCAUUGGGCGUAAAGAGCUUGUAGGUGGUGCGAUAAGUUGGACGUGAAAACUCCGGGCUUAACUUGGAGAGGCCGUUCAAUACUGUUGUGCUAGAGGGCGUCAGAGGGAAGUGGAAUUCCUGGUGUAGCAGUGAAAUGCGUAGAUAUCAGAAGGAACAUCCGUGGCGAAGGCGGCUUCCUGGGGCGCACCUGACACUGAGAAGCGAAAGCUAGGGGAGCAAACGGGAUUAGAAACCCCGGUAGUCCUAGCUGUAAACGAUGGAUGCUAGGUGUGAGUGGAUCUAACCCCGCUCGUGCCGAAGCUAACGCGUUAAGCAUCCCGCCUGGGAACUACGAGCGCAAGCUU
rnacentral:rRNA from 1 species